rnacentral:rRNA from 1 species
UACGUAGGGGGCAAGCGUUGUCCGGAAUCAUUGGGCGUAAAGAGCGUGUAGGCGGCCUGGUAAGUCCGCUGUGAAAGUCCAGGGCUCAACCCUGGAAUGCCGGUGGAAACUGUCAGGCUCGAGUCCGGAAGAGGCGAGUGGAAUUCCUGGUGUAGCGGUGAAAUGCGCAGAUAUCAGGAAGAACACCCGUGGCGAAGGCGGCUCUCUGGGACGGUACUGACGCUGAGACGCGAAAGCGUGGGGAGCAAACAGG